UCAGCCGCAAGUUUUGCAGCCCGCUGACCCCAGCUAUGGCGCAGGUGCCUACUAGUGCCACUCCAGUGCCACCUUGAGGACCCAUAUUUCUGACCAAUUAUAUUAGGCGAUCUGCAUGGAACUUGCACACCUUACUGAACCCAUGCCUAUCUACAAGGGUGCAAAUUUUGAAUGAUAUUGGUCAACAUCAACCUCAGCUAAAGGUGGCUGAACUUUAACCUCCGUUUGUGCAGGCUGCGAUGCUGAAACUUGGCCCAGUUGCAGCACCUUUCACAUGUAUCAGGAUAAUAAAU